UACUAUGAUUCCCUCAGUAACGGCGAGUGAAGCGGGAAGAGCUCAUUCUGUGAAUCUGUAUGCUCUUUUGGUAUACCGAGUUGUAGAAUAUAGAAGCACAUCAGUGCGAAUUCCGGUCUAAGUCUCUUGGAAAAGAGCAGCUAAGAGGGUGAGACUCCCGUUCUUGGCUGGAAUUCAAACUUUAGCAUGUGGUUUCGACGAGUCGAGUUGCUUGGGAUUGCAGCUCAAAGUUGGUGGUAAAUUCCAUCUAAAGCUAAAUAUCGGUGGGAGACCGAUAGCGUACAAGUACCGUGAGGGAAAGAUGCAAAGAACUUUGAAAAAAGAGUUAAAGAGUACCUGAAAUUGCUGAAAUGGAAGCGAAGGAAACCAGUGCCGUUCUGUAUCAUUCUUCCGUCCUUGCUUGCGAGGGUGGCGCUGUGAUGCAGGAUAGGCCAGCGUGGGUUUGAGCCGAAGGAAGCAGCUCUUCAGGAGGCAGCGCAAUUUCUGUGCGAUUACUGUUGAGCUUUGCUUCGGCUUGGACUGAGGCUAGUCACUUGUGCUCGUGACGCUGGCGAAAUGGUUUUCUUUACCCCGUCUUGAAACACGGACCAAGGAGUCUAACAUAUGUGCGAGUAUAUGAGUGACAAACUCACAUGCGAAAUGAAAGUAACAGUGGUUGGACCUUCUGGGCACAAUCCGCCGGCCACAAUCCUUCGGGAGAAAGGUCUGAGUGUGAGCAUACAUGUUGGGACCCGAAAGAUGGUGAACUAUGCCUGAAUAGGGUGAAGCCGCGG
rnacentral:rRNA from 1 species